AUUGAACGCUGGCGGCAGGCUUAACACAUGCAAGUCGAGCGAGCGGCGGACGGGUGAGUAAUGUCUGGGAAACUGCCUGAUGGAGGGGGAUAACUACUGGAAACGGUAGCUAAUACCGCAUACCAUCAGAUGGGCCCAGAUGGGAUUAGCUAGUAGGUGGGGUAAUGGCUCACCUAGACGACGAUCCCUAGCUGGUCUGAGCGGAUGACCAUCCACACUGGAACUGAGACACGGUCCAGACUCUGACCAUGAACAACAGGUUUAAAUAUUGCACAAUGGGCGCAAGCCUAAUCCAGCCAUGCCGCGUGUGUGAAGAAGGCCUUCGAGUUGUAAAGCACUUUCAGCGAGGAGGCGUUACUCGCAGAAGAAGCACCGGCUAACUCCGUGCCAGCAGCCGCGGUAAUAC
rnacentral:rRNA from 1 species